UAACAGGAAGGCUUCAAGGCCUACCUGAGGAAGGUUUUUAGGCCUACCUGAGGGGAAGGUUUAACAUUGAGGCCUACCUGAGGAAGGUUUAAAAUGGAGGCCUACCUGAGGGAGGUUUUUAGGCCUACCUGAGGGAAAAGUUUGCAAUGGAGGCCCACCUGACGGAAGGUUUAAAAUGGACACCCACCUGAGGAAAGCUUCAAGGGUUCCUUGAGGAAGGCUUCGAGGCCUACCUGAGGGAAAGGUUUACAAUGGAGGCCUACCUGAGAAGGACUUUGAGGCCUACCUGAGGAAAAACUUUAAAAUGGAGGCCUGCUAGAAGGCCACAUUUGGUGUGACUUGGUUCAGUGGUUUUCUUGUUUACUCAGUCCUACAAACGUACAUUACAUUUUUAUAUACUGUAAAGUCUCACUCAUCCAACAUUCGCUUAUCCAAAGUUCUGGAUUAUCCAAUGCUUUCAAUACAUCGUGAUAUUUUGGUGCUAAAUUCGUAAAUACAGUAAUUACUACGUAGUAUUACUGCCUAUUGAAUUACUUUUUCUGUCAAAUUUGUUGUAUAAUAUGAUGUUUUGGUGCUUAAUUUGUAAAAUCAUAACCUAAUUUGAUGUUCAAUAGGCUUUUCCUUGAUCAGUCCUUAUAAUCCAAGAUAUUCGCUUAUCCAACAUUCUGCCAGCCCGUUUAUGUUGGAUAAGUGAGACUAUACUGUAUUAGUUAGUAAUAGGACAACUGUAUCUUUUCACGUAUUAUAGAUUUCUGUGUCCUUGAGUCUACACUGCCAUAUAAUCCAGUUAAAUAAGAUAAUCUGUAUUUUAUAGGCAGUGUGGAAGAGGCCUAAGUGAGGCCUAACUCUGCCUGUCCCCUGGGCUGAGUGGGUUGCUAGGAGACCAAGUGGGCGGAGCUUAGCCUUCUAAGUGGCAGCAAUUGGAUAAAAGCAAUUAUUCCUUCUCCCUCUAAUUAGGACUUUAUUUUUCUUUUUGUUGUAUGAACGUAGAGGCAUGGAUGAGGGGUUGUGCUGGCAAGUUUAGAGUUUCUGGGAUGUGUAGUUUUGUUAUGUCCUAGGCUGAAAUUUCAUUUCCCUUUUAUAUAUAUAGAUUGCCCUCCCAACCCUGUUAUACACCUGGUUGCAGACAUCGCACUCAACAGCAUGUUGGUGGACAGGAAAAGAGAUGGGCUUAAAAAUGACCUUAAAACUGUGGAAUAGACACUGAAAACUUGGAAGCUUUGGCCCUUGAGUACUCUAGCUGGAGGUCAGCUGUGACCAGCAGUGCUGUGGAAUUUGAAAAGGCACGAAUGGAGGGAGAAAUGUGCCAAGAGGAAGGCAUGUCAAGCCAACCCUGACCGGGACAGAUGAAAAAGAACAUGCCACCGCCAAGACAUUACAAUUGGAAGAUCAUCAUAAUCUGACAACGAGAGAUCAAAUCUCGGUGCGCGAUUCCUGACGAGAGGAGGAAAAAAAGGCAGAAUGUGACAACACGGAGGGCGAAAGGAGGGAAAUACGGAGGGCGACAAAGUCCGGUCCGCUUACCUUUGUUGUGCAGGAAAUGCAGGGCGCUGGCGAUGUCUCGCACCACCCCACUGGCCUCCAGUUCAUUGAAAUGGCGCCGGCGAUGGAUGUGCGUCAAGAUGGAGCCUGGAAAAAGCCAAAUACGGGAUUCGUUUUUUCCGGACUACCAAUCCCAUCAUCCCCAGCAAGGAAGAAGCGUACUCUUUGUUGGUGAUGAGGUUCAUACAGGCCUGGACUUUGGCGUGGGCCCCUUCGCCAAGGACUUCUUCUUGCAGCUGGUAGACGUCUGAAAGGCAGACCACGGAUGAAGGCCAUUCCCGUCAUUCAAAAGCAAGGAGCCUACCUUGAAGGAACGAUGGAAGCCCUGGAGCUCGGUUUUCUUCUGCACCAUCUUGAGAAGGAGAGGAAAGAGGGAACGAGAAAGAAAGAAAGGACGGAAGAAAGAAAGAAGGGAAAGAAGGAAGGAAAAACAGAAAGGAAAGGAAAAGGAAGAGGAUCCUUAUCUAAUCCAGAUCGGCAGGUGGAGAUCCUAGAAAAUAAAAGAGUUUCCAUUCUCA